rnacentral:rRNA from 1 species
AUACAUGCAAGUCGAGCGAACUGAUUAGAAGCUUGCUUCUAUGACGUUAGCGGCGGACGGGUGAGUAACACGUGGGCAACCUGCCUGUAAGACUGGGAUAACUCCGGGAAACCGGAGCUAAUACCGGAUAACAUUUUCUCUUGCAUAAGAGAAAAUUGAAAGAUGGUUUCGGCUAUCACUUACAGAUGGGCCCGCGGUGCAUUAGCUAGUUGGUGAGGUAACGGCUCACCAAGGCAACGAUGCAUAGCCGACCUGAGAGGGUGAUCGGCCACACUGGGACUGAGACACGGCCCAGACUCCUACGGGAGGCAGCAGUAGGGAAUCUUCCGCAAUGGACGAAAGUCUGACGGAGCAACGCCGCGUGAGUGAUGAAGGCUUUCGGGUCGUAAAACUCUGUUGUUAGGGAAGAACAAGUACAAGAGUAACUGCUUGUACCUUGACGGUACCUAACCAGAAAGCCACGGCUAACUACGUGCCAGCAGCCGCGGUAAUACGUAGGUGGCAAGCGUUAUCCGGAAUUAUUGGGCGUAAAGCGCGCGCAGGCGGUUUCUUAAGUCUGGAUGUGAAAGCCCACGGCUCAACCGUGGAGGGUCAUUGGAAACUGGGGAACUUGAGUGCAGAAGAGAAAAGCGGAAUUCCACGUGUAGCGGUGAAAUGCGUAGAGAUGUGGAGGAACACCAGUGGCGAAGGCGGCUUUUUGGUCUGUAACUGACGCUGAGGCGCGAAAGCGUGGGGGAGCAAAACAGGAUUAGAUACCCUGGUAGUCCACGCCGUAAACGAUGAGUGCUAAGUGUUAGAGGGUUUCCGCCCUUUAAGUGCUGCAGCUAACGCAUUAAGCACUCCGCCUGGGGAGUACGGUCGCAAGACUGAAACUCAAGGGAAUUGACGGGGGCCGCCCAAGCGGUGGAGCAUGUGGUUUAUUCGAAGCAACGCGAAGAACCUUACCAGGUCUUGCCAUCCUCUGACACCUCUAGAGAUAGAGCGCUCUCCUCGGGGGACAGAGUGACAGGUGGUGCAUGGUUGUCGUCAGCUCGUGUCGUGAGAUGUUGGGUUAAGUCCCGCAACGAGCGCAACCCUUGAUCUUAGUUGCCAGCAUUUAGUUGGGCACUCUAAGGUGACUGCCGGUGACAAACCGGAGGAAGGUGGGGAUGACGUCAAAUCAUCAUGCCCCUUAUGACCUGGGCUACACACGUGCUACAAUGGAUGGUACAAAGGGCUGCAAGACCGCGAGGUCAAGCCAAUCCCAUAAAACCAUUCUCAGUUCGGAUUGUAGGCUGCAACUCGCCUACAUGAAGCUGGAAUCGCUAGUAAUCGCGGAUCAGCAUGCCGCGGAGAAUACGUUCCCGGGCCUUGUACACACCGCCCGUCACACCACGAGAGUUUGUAACACCCGAAGUCGGUGGGGUAACCUUUAUGGACCCAGCCGCCUA